rnacentral:rRNA from 1 species
CAGUAGCCGCGGUAAUACGGAGGGUGCAAGCGUUAAUCGGAAUUACUGGGCGUAAAGCGCACGCAGGCGGUCUGACAAGUCAGAUGUGAAAUCCCCGGGCUUAACCUGGGAACUGCAUUUGAAACUGUCAGGCUGGAGUCUUGUAGAGGGGGAUAGAAUUCCAGGUGUAGCGGUGAAAUGCGUAGAGAUCUGGAGGAAUACCGGUGGCGAAGGCGGCCCCCUGGACAAAGACUGACGCUCAGGUGCGAAAGCGUGGGGAGCAAACAGGAUUAGAUACCCCUGUAGUCCCUGUCUCUUAUAC